UUGGGGGAAGAGAGGCUGUUGCUUUUCCCUAACAGUCAGGGGAGAGCCCAGAGGGUUUUCAGUCUGGUUAUUCUGGGGUAGACCCAGAGAGCCAGUGAUUCCCUCUCCUGUGGGCUUUCCUUGAGAUUCUGCCCAUCACAGCUGCUGCUGAGGAGUGAAUGUUCAACAUCCACAACAUCACCAACAAGCUGGUGACUUCCUACUGAGACUGCUGAUUGACCUAAAGAAGGACUCCAGUUGUGAAGGAAGCAAAAUAUUCCAAACGUGUGGAUUCCAGAGGGAUUACAUGGUACUUUGUGAAAUUAUACUCAAUAAAGUUAAAGGAAAUACAUUAGUGCAACUUAAAACAACCACAAUAAGAAUGGAAGAAGUAUAUAUAAUUAAUAAAAAGAGAGCUGAUCAUGGAUACCUAAAGAUAUGAGGAAACUGCAGCAAACAGGGGUAAGUGACUUGCCCAGGGUCACCUAGCUAAUAGGUUUCUGAGACCAGACUAGUCUUCCUGACUCCAGACCUGGACCUCUAUUUGUUGAUGCAUCUGUACAAAGGACGCCAACGUUUUGGAGAUGUCGUACCACCAUUAGUAAGACUGAUCUCUCCACAGUCAGCUCCACAGUCCAGGUGGAGGCCCAACGUGAAGCCUUCCAAGCCAUAGGAGGACCUGCUGGCACUUUCAUUCUAUUGCCAUGGGGUAUGAGAAGCUACAGUGGAUAUUCUCUCUGCUGGGCUAAGGCAGCAGAGUGCAACUUAUGGAGAAUACUUAUAAGUACUGCACAAUAAAAGUGUGUACCUUGUGUUUCUAUUCACUUAUAUCCUGAUGACACUUAUAAGUCUCCACUCGUAGUUGUACUUAAAAAAAAAGUCUGAUAAAAGAGGUUUAUAAGUUAUAUUUCCAGCCUCUCCAAUGGGCAAGACUCUGAAGGGAGACAGCACAGAUUCCAAUGCCCUGAGUAAGGGGAGGCAAAGGUUUCCUACUGUGAAAUUAGAAUCAGUUACCCUAAAAACUACAACCCCCAGGGUUUUUUUUUCAUGGUAAUUUAUAUACAAAAGGAGAAAGAGUG